GGAGAUUUAGCUCAGUGGUAGAGUGCUUGCCUAGCAAGCACAAGGCCCUGGGUUCAGUCCCCAGCUCCG
rnacentral:tRNA from 1 species